rnacentral:rRNA from 1 species
AUUGAACGCUGGCGGCAGGCCUAACACAUGCAAGUCGAACGAGUGGCGGACGGGUGAGUAAUGUCCGGGAAACUGCCUGAUGGAGGGGGAUAACUACUGGAAACGGUAGCUAAUACCGCAUACCAUCAGAUGUGCCCAGAUGGGAUUAGCUAGUUGGUGGGGUAACGGCUCACCAAGGCGACGAUCCCUCGCUGGUCUGAGAGGAUGACGGGCAAAACUGGAACUGAGACACGGUCCAGAUGCCUACGGGAGGCAGAAGUGGGGAAUAUUGCACAAUGGGCGCAAGCCGGAGGCAGCCAUGCCGCGUAGAUGAAGAAGGCCUUCGGGUUGUAAAGUACUUUCAGCGGGGAGGCGUUACCCGCAGAAGAAGCACCGGCUAACUCCGUGCCAGCCGCCGCGGUAAUUC